rnacentral:misc_RNA from 1 species
AAAGUCGUAACAAGGUUUCCGUAGGUGAACCUGCGGAAGGAUCAUUAUCGAGAGGGGGUCUUUAUGGCCCAACCUUAAACCCCAUGUCUUAAUUAUCUUUGCUUCUUUGGCGGGGUCACCCGUCAGAAGAAUUCCUGAAACCCACUAUUAAUGUGCUAUCUGAAUAUAUUAAAAUAAAUCAAAACUUUCAACAACGGAUCUCUUGGUUCUG